UACGGGGGGGGCAAGCGUUGUUCGGAAUUACUGGGCGUAAAGGGCUCGUAGGCGGCCAACUAAGUCAAACGUGAAAUCCCUCGGCUUAACCGGGGAACUGCGUCUGAUACUGGAUGGCUUGAGUUUGGGAGAGGGAUGCGGAAUUCCAGGUGUAGCGGUGAAAUGCGUAGAUAUCAGGAGGAACACCUAUUGCGAAGGCAGCUCGCUGGGACGUAACUGACGCUGAGACGCGAAAGCGUGGGGAGCAAACAGG
rnacentral:rRNA from 1 species